rnacentral:rRNA from 1 species
AGAGUUUGAUCAUGGCUCAGAACGAACGUUAGCGGCGCGCCUAACACAUGCAAGUCGCACGAGAAAGGGCUUCGGCCCCGGUAAAGUGGCGCACGGGUGAGUAACACGUGGGUAACCUGCCCUCGAGCGGGGGAUAACAUUCCGAAAGGAGUGCUAAUACCGCAUAAGACCACGACCUCGAAAGAGGACGAGGUAAAAGCUGGCCUCUAUACAUAAGCUAGCACUUGAGGAUGGGCCCGCGGCGCAUCAGGUAGUUGGUGAGGUAAUGGCUCACCAAGCCAAAGACGCGUAGCUGGUCUGAGAGGAUGAUCAGCCACACUGGAACUGAGACACGGUCCAGACUCCUACGGGAGGCAGCAGUGGGGAAUCUUGCGCAAUGGGCGAAAGCCUGACGCAGCGACGCCGCGUGAGUGAUGAAGGCCUUCGGGUUGUAAAGCUCUGUGGGGAGAGACGAAUAAGUGCAGCCUAAUACGUUGCAUGAUGACGGUAUCUCCUUAGCAAGCACCGGCUAACUCUGUGCCAGCAGCCGCGGUAAGACAGAGGGUGCAAACGUUGUUCGGAAUUACUGGGCGUAAAGCGUGUGUAGGCGGUCCACUAAGUCGGGUGUGAAAGCCCUGGGCUCAACCCAGGAAGUGCACUCGAAACUGGCGGGCUAGAGUAUCGGAGAGGUUGGUGGAAUUCUCGGUGUAGAGGUGAAAUUCGUAGAUAUCGAGAGGAACACCGGUGGCGAAGGCGGCCAACUGGACGAAUACUGACGCUGAGACACGAAAGCGUGGGGAGCAAACAGGAUUAGAUACCCUAGUAGUCC